rnacentral:lncRNA from 1 species
CACCAGAGAGAACGAACCAAGGGAAUGAAUGGAAACUUGUUAUCAAAAUAUGCUUUGAAAUAAUACAAUUACUCAACAGACUAUUUCUCAAAUGGAACAAUUGUUAAAAAACUAUUGUGCAGCACUUCGUAUGUUGAUACCUAACUCUGAACAAAUUAUCGGUCUUAAUUGACAGUUUAAUACACCAUUUUCCAACUCUAAAACCUAGAUCC